rnacentral:lncRNA from 10 species
UGAGGCCUUUGGAAGGUGAUUUGGCAAUGAGGGCAGAGUCUUCAUGAAUGGAAUUAGUGCCCAUAUAAAAGACGCCCCAGAAGGCUGUCUUGCCUUUUCCACCAUGUGAAGGCACAGAGAGAAGGCAUCAUCUGUGAACCAGGAAAUGGGGCCUUCAUCAGACACCAAAUCAGCUGAUGGCUUGAUCUUCAAUUUCCUAGCCUCCAGAACUAUAAGAGUGAGCAUUUUUGGAAAUGUGAUCAACUGACGCAAAAUGGCAGCAACACUGGAAGGAAGAAUCAGGAGGAUAUCUUAGAAGAUAACCACAGAAUCUUUGCAAGAGACACAGAAGACUACCUUACACCUGGUUUCCACAGGAGAAAUGGCUCAAAAUAUGUUAUUAGUUGAACAGUAGGAAAAAUGUCUAUGGUCUCUUCAGCACCAUCUGUAUGUAGUCUCUGAGUCUCCAGUUUCUCAUCUAUGAAACUGGGAUAAUAAUAUGCAAUGAGAGUUAUUCUGAAGAUCAAAUAAGAUAGCAUGUGAAAGCAGUUCUAGAUUCCAGACAUAAGAGUAAGAUUAAAAGAAAUGUUGUUCUCAAUUUUCUUGUGUCAUUGCUGCUGCCAUCUAGACUUAAACAAAUGUUACUGUAAGAGCCAAGUAAUAAACUAA